AUGCCGUGUCCCAAGUUGAAGAGUCUCAAGUCACUCACCGUCAACCUGGCGGCGGUGGAGCCCCGGGAGUCCAGCCGCCUGCUCCCGACGCCACGAACCCCGACGCCGUCGUAUGGAAGCAUCGUCACCGUCCUGAGCAUCGACGGCGGGGGCGUACGCGGCAUCAUCCCGGGCACCAUCCUCGGUUUCCUCGAAGAGAAGCUCCAGGAACUUGAUGGACCCGAGGCCAGGGUGGCCGACUACUUCGAUGUGAUUGCAGGGACCAGCACCGGCGGGCUGGUGACCGCCAUGCUCACCGCCCCUAAUGCCGACGGCCGCCCGCUCUUCGCCGCCAAGGACAUCAACGCCUUCUACCUGGAGCACUGCCCAAAGAUCUUCCCUCGCGUCAGGCGCGGGCCUCUCGGCUUGCUCAAGAGCAUCAAGGGGCCCAAGUACAACGGCAAAUAUCUGCACUCCGUCGUGCGAAAGCUGCUCGGGGAGACACGCGUGAGCCAAGCGUUGCAGAACAUCGUCGUCCCUGCCUUCGACAUCAAGCUGCUGCAGCCAAUCAUCUUCUCCAGAUACGAUGCUCAAAGCGACGUCGCCAAAGACGCCCUCCUCUCCGACGUAUGCAUCAGCACGUCCGCCGCGCCCACCUACCUGCCCGGCCACCACUUCGAGACCACGUACAAGCACGGCAAGCCGCGCGCAUUCAAUCUGAUCGACGGCGGCGUCGCGGCAAACAAGCCGACGCUGCUGGCCAUGACCCACGUCAGCAAGCAGAUCCUCAUGGGCAACAAUGAUUUCUUCCCCAUCAAACCGGCCGACUAUGGGAAGUUCCUCAUCCUCUCCCUGGGCACCGGGUCGGCCAAGCUCGCGGACAAAUUCGACGCAGCCCAGUGCAGCAAGUGGGGCAUCUUCGGGUGGCUCUACAACAAAGGUGUGUCCCCGCUCAUCGAUAGUUUUUGUCAGGCAAGCGCUCACCUUGUGGACAUCCACGCAUCCGUGCUCUUCCAGGCGCUGCAUUGCGAGAGGCGCUACCUUCGCAUCCAAGAUGACGAUCUCAAGGGGAACACUUGCUCCGUCGACGUGGCCACGCCGGAGAACUUGGACAUGCUUGUCGACGUCGGCAAGGCACUACUGAAGAAACAGGUGUGUAGAGUGGACGUCGAGACCGGAAAAAGCGUGCCGGACAUGAAGAGGGGCACCAACGAGGAAGAGCUGACCCAUUUCGCCCGAAUGUUGUCGCAUGAACGCAAGUCCAGGCUCCAAAAGAAGCAGAGCAGCGCUGCAAAGUAA
rnacentral:rRNA from 1 species